UAGCGGCGACGGGUGAGUAACACGUGGGUAACCUGCCCAAGAGAUCGGGGAUACACCUGGAAACAGAUGCUAAUACCGGAUAACAACAGAUGAUGCCUAUCAACUGUUUAAAAGAUGGUUCUGCUAUCACUCUUGGGAUGGACCUGCGGUGCAUUAGCUAGUUGGUAGGGGUAACGGCCUACCAAGGCGAUGAUGCAUAGCCGAGUUGAGAGACUGAUCGGCCACAUUGGGACUGAGACACGGCCCAAACUCCUACGGGAGGCAGCAGUAGGGGAAUCUUCCACAAUGGACGCAAGUCCGAUGGAGCAAACGCCGCGUGAGUGAAGAAGGGUUUCGGCUCGUAAAGCUCUGUUGUUGGUGAAGAAGGACAGGGGGUAGUAACCGACCUUUGUUUGACGGUAAUCAAUUAGAAAGUCACGGCUAACUACGUGCCAGCAGCCGCGGUAAAU
rnacentral:rRNA from 1 species